CCCUUAGAGUUUGAUCAUGGCUCAGAACGAACGCUGGCGGCAUGCCUAACACAUGCAAGUCGAACGAAGGCCCUAGCUUGCUAGGUGUCCCUAGUGGCGAACGGGUGAGUAACGCGUGGGAAUCUGCCAUAGAGUGGGGAACAACUUUUGGAAACGAAAGCUAAUACCGCAUACGCCCUCCGGGGGAAAGGCUUCGGCCGCUCUUUGAUGAUCCCGCGUCUGAUUAGCUUGUUGGUAGGGUAACGGCUUACCAAGGCGACGAUCAGUAGCUGGUCUGAGAGGAUGAUCAGCCACACUGGGACUGAGACACGGCCCAGACUCCUACGGGAGGCAGCAGUGGGGAAUAUUGGACAAUGGGGGAAACCCUGAUCCAGCAAUGCCGCGUGAGUGAAGAAGGCCUUAGGGUUGUAAAACUCUUUCGCCGGUGAAGAUGAUGACUGUAGCCGGUAAAGAAGCCCCGGCUAACUCCGUGCCAGCAGCCGCGGUAAUACGGAGGGGGCUAGCGUUGUUCGGAUUUACUGGGCGUAAAGCGCACGUAGGCGGCAUAUUAAGUUAGAGGUGAAAGGCCUGGGCUCAACCUAGGAACUGCCUUUAAUACUGGUAUGCUUGAGUUCGGAAGAGGGUAGUGGAAUUCCAAGUGUAGAGGUGAAAUUCGUAGAUAUUUGGAAGAACACCGGUGGCGAAGGCGGCUACCUGGUCCGAUACUGA
rnacentral:rRNA from 1 species